rnacentral:lncRNA from 1 species
AGAGAGACAGAGACGGUAGGAGUUAGGAGUCAAAAACAAUAACCCUAAAUCACUCCAACUCAAAUCGAUCCUCAAUUCCUAAUUCCUCUCCAAUUUCUUCCAUUGCAAUCCAAACCCUACCUCAUAAAUUACUUCCGAGUUCCAUAUCUCAGUCUCGACGCUACAAUUUACAGCCUCUACACCUGAAAUCACCUCCGCCUCUAUGAGUCUACGAAUAGCCAGUUUCCAUCCUCGCUCCAGUGCCAAGGCCUGACCGUUCCAUGUCCAGACUCCCCAACUCACCGGAUUAAGGGAUUUUUUUUUUUUUUACUUAAUCAGCCUAGUCUUAGCGGCUGUUUGGAGGUGAUUUUAAGGGGGGAAACUAAUUUUUAUAUCAUUAUUCACCUUUUCCAGCUACAAGUACGAUGGCUGAGAGUCAAUUACAAUGUCUCUAUACUUGCCGAAAAAGCAGCUGCUUCCAAUGUGUCAAUCCCUCCGCAAAGUCUAUCUCUGCCUUCAGCACUACAGGGACCCUCUUAUUUAUCAGGUAUGGGCUUUACUAUUUUG